UAGUCCACGCCGUAAACGAUGAGUACUAGCUGUCGGAAUCCUCGAGGUUUCGGUAGCGGAGCUAACGCAUUAAGUACUCCGCCUGGGGAUUACGGCCACAAGGCUAAAACUCAAAGGAAUUGACGGGGCCCGCACAAGCGGUGGAGCAUGUGGUUUAAUUCGAUGCAACGCGAAAACCUUACCUACCCUUGACAUCCGGCGAAUCCUGUAGAGAUACGGGAGUGCCUUCGGGAAUGCCGAGACAGGUGCUGCAUGGCUGUCGUCAGCUCGUGUCGUGAGAUGUUGGGUUAAGUCCCGUAACGAGCGCAACCCCUAUACUUAGUUGCCAGCACAUAAUGGUGGGAACUCUAAGUAGACUGCCGGUGAUAAACCGGAGGAAGGUGGGGAUGAUGUCAAGUCCUCAUGGGCCCUUAUGGGGUAGGGGCUACACACGUGCUACAAUGGGGCAGUACAGAGGGGAAGCGAAGCAGAGAUGUGGGA
rnacentral:rRNA from 1 species